GACGAACGCUGGCGGCGUGCUUAACACAUGCAAGUCGAACGGAAAGGCCCUGCUUUUGUGGGGUGCUCGAGUGGCGAACGGGUGAGUAGCACGUGAGUAACCUGCCCUUGACUUUGGGAUAACUUCAGGAAACUGGGGCUAAUACCGGAUAGGAGCUCCUGCUGCAUGGUGGGGGUUGGAAAGUUUCGGCGGUUGGGGAUGGACUCGCGGCUUAUCAGCUUGUUGGUGGGGUAGUGGCUUACCAAGGCUUUGACGGGUAGCCGGCCUGAGAGGGUGACCGGCCACAUUGGGACUGAGAUACGGCCCAGACUCCUACGGGAGGCAGCAGUGGGGAAUAUUGCACAAUGGGCGGAAGCCUGAUGCAGCAACGCCGCGUGCGGGAUGACGGCCUUCGGGUUGUAAACCGCUUUCGCCUGUGACGAAGCCUGAGUGGCGGUAAUGGGUAAAGAAGCACCGGCUAACUACGUG
rnacentral:rRNA from 1 species